CGAGAAUCUUCCGCAAUGCGCGAAAGCGUGACGGAGCGAUGCCGCGUGCAGGAUGAAGGCCUUCGGGUCGUAAACUGCUGUCACUCGGGACGAAUUUUGACGGUACCGAGAGAGGAAGCACCGGCUAACUACG
rnacentral:rRNA from 1 species